GUGAAUGAAGGCUCUGUCCAAGGGCUCAUUCUGUCAUGAGCUAGUCAUGGGUAAAGGGUUCCAAGGACUUUCCUACCUAGUGUCAGAUCAGAGCCUGGGAGUGGCUGGGAGUGGAGGCGUUGCUCAACUGAUCUUUGGUGGAGGUGCUUUUGGCCUAAUGGAAGGUGGAUGGAUCUCACUAUGUUGCCAAGGCUGGCUCGAGAACUCCUGGGCUCAACCAAUCCUCCUGCCUCAGCCUCCCAAAUAGCUGGGACUACAGGAGAUUAGGACUCUCAGAAGAGACACCAGAGGCGUGGCCACACAGAGAAAAAGAUCAUGUGGGGACACAGUGAAAAGGCAGCCAUCAUAAGCCACAGAGAGAGGACUCAGAAGAAACCAACUCUGCUGACACCUUCAUCUUGAACUUCUAGCCUCUAGAACUGUGAAAAAACAAAUUUCUGUUGUUAAGACACCCGGUCUGUGGUAUUUUGUUAAGACAGCCCUAGCAAACUAACACAAUUUUGUACACUAAAUAAAGUCCAAUUCAAUUUUAAUUUUAUAGAAACUGAAACAAAUAAUUUAAAGAUUUACUUAGUAAAUUACUUCAGAUUGGGAUCAAAUGUGUACAUGAAUUAUGAAAAUGUAAGAAAUGGAUAUUUAAAUAAGUAUACCAGAACAUAAAAAUUCCAGUGCCUGGUUUUUUUUUUUUUUUUGAAAGCCACUUAUCCCAACAAUAAAACUGAUGCUCAAAAUAUUUUGGGACCUAUCUUUAUACUCUGUUAAUUAUGCACUCAAGAAAAUAAGUGUGACUAUAUUACAGCCACUCCAUUUUUGUUUGUUUGUUUAUGUUAUUCAGCUUA
rnacentral:lncRNA from 1 species